GGCGGCUGGGCCGCUCCCGUGCACGCGAAGGGCAAAAGCGUUUUUAGCCUCCGCGAGUGUGCAGGGAACGAACCCGUGGCCGCGGCGAGUCUCUCUGACUUUCAAGGGACACGGCCGCGAGGUGGGCCGUGACGCCUCAA
rnacentral:rRNA from 1 species